rnacentral:misc_RNA from 1 species
GAUGAAGAACGCAGUGAAAUGCGAUAAUUAAUGUGAAUUGCAGAAUUCAGUGAAUCAUCGAGUCUUUGAACGCACAUUGCGCCCCCUGGUAUUCCGGGGGGCAUGCCUGUCCGAGCGUCAUUGCUGCCCUCAAGCACGGCUUGUGUGUUGGGCUUCCGUCCCUGGCAACGGGGACGGGCCCAAAAGGCAGUGGCGGCACCAUGUCUGGUCCUCGAGCGUAUGGGGCUUUGUCACCCGCUCCCAUAGGUCCAGCUGGCAGCUAGCCUCGCAACCAAUCUUUUUAACCAGGUUGACCUCGGAUCAGGUAGGGAUACCCGCUGAACUUAAGCAUAUCAAUAAGCGGAGGA